GUGUGGAUGUCUCCAUCUAGUGGCCAAAGUAAGAAUGUCAGCACAAUGUCGCCUGAACAGGUGAUCGAUAAUUCAUGACGAGCAGCUUGGAACGAACCAGCGAAGACCUUUGACUGUCACUACUGUGGAACUUUAGCUUUACUUUAGUCGUUAUAGUAACUACGAGGUCCGCAACAGCUCAUUACUACAAAGUUAAAUGAAUAAACAAGGGCGCACUGUUUACAAUCGAACAGUCAGGUUUCCGGUGACGUCAUUACAUCACAUUCGCAACCGGAUGUACUUGGAAAUACUGCUCAUUUAACCACUGAAACCGCCAACUUCAAGGAAGUGGACCAACAACUGAGCUCUUAAGAUAAAUAUGAAUGAGGACGUGGAAUGAAAAACAAAACAAAAAUGCCUUGAGCAAAUAAGUAAGAGAUUGACUCCGCAGUAUAAGAUGGUCAAGCUAACGCUAACUUCACAAAAAUCUGGAAGAGAUACUUCUGCUCUUGAGUGACAUAACAUGGAGUUCAACGACGCAAAUACAAGGUACUGAAGCAGCGCCGCAAUUGAGAAACUUGAAGACAGACUUCAUAACAUGGAAAGGAGCAGCGGGGUGGUGCGUGGUGGCUUCACUGAAGAUGGCCCUGGCUGCGACGCACAGCAAACCUUUGGGGGCUGUGUUUGACUUGUCCUGGUGCACUGAACACAUGAGACGCAGGAGCGCCAGAGGCGUCACAACGCAUCAGCGUUCACACCCGCCUGCUACACGCCACAGUCAGGACCAGAUUAAUGCCGUCGCCAGGUCACGUCUCGCACAACCUUUUUAACCCUCCGCGGGACCCGAUUCAUCAGUGUCCAGUUUGGCUGGUGGGAAACGCUCCUUCAGGACGACAGAUCGAUGAGAACGACUCAUUCUGGUCGCAGGGGCAGCAGCUGGAGUGAAGAGGUCCUGACAUCCCUCUCCCUGGAACCCUCAUCCUGCUCUUUUGGGGAAAAGCCAAAGUGUUCCUGGCUCAACUGAGAGACCUUGUCUCUCCUCUGUGACCUGUUCUACUUGUAGUCUCUCCUGGAUGACUGAGCUUCUCACUCUAUCAGAGGGUGCACCUGCGGAGGAACCUCAUACUGCAUGUUGAUCUUCAGUCUCAGACUGAAGACACUUCCCUCACCUGAGAACAAGACCCCAGGAUGAACCUGAACUCCACCUCCAGAGUCUCAUCUCCAGCUAGAACAGGAUGUUCUGACUGAGAACAUCCAUGCGUGUGUUUCAGAAGCAAAGACGUACGUGAGAAGACGAGCAGCGGUGGACGGUGCGUCACUCUGACCAGCAGCUCCUCGUGACUCUCUGCACUCUCCAAACUUUCCCCAAGCCCCUGAUGACUCGUGGACCGGAGCGGGACGGCCAGCGCGUGACAGAAUGUCCGUGAGCACGCUCAGUAAGGUCACAUGACUCACAAGCACCCUGCGUCUGGUGUUGGGGGCUCAGAAGCCUCGCAGAGGAGGAGACGUGCCUCUCUAAUUUAGGAAUCCAGGUCAUCAUCUGAGCUCGAUUCAAGCUGUCUGUCUGUCUUCCUGCAGAUGAACCAUGGAGCAGUCCUUCACCCCUGCAUGCCACCUGACAUGGUAUGGGUCACCUGCUGCCAGAUAUGAACCCUCUCAUCCACCUUAUCACUGCAUGAACAAUGUGUAACCCUUCAAUCUCCCUUCUUACUCAUUCAUCUGGAGCGGGUCUGCCCGGCGACGCUGAAGAUCUAGAGCCGGGGUUCUGAACCUUUCUGAUCUCAGGGCCCACCUUUCCCUGAACAGAUGGCUCCAGGGCCCAUUCAAGGAACACGACUGAUCCAUUACUGUGAUUACUGAUGUCACUUGUGGUCAGUAACCACACACGUAAACAAACCACAACCUUGUGAAAUGACGUGAAACCAUGUGAUCAGCGCAAAGAUGUUUGUCAUGUCAAAGUCAAGAACUUCUCCAUACUUGGUAACUAUCACAGAUUUGCAGCUGUCAAGUCAAUUCAGUGACUCACUACUGCCACCAUAUGUGGCUCAUGUAUUAAAAGUGAGCGUCUCUUCACGCGUGACGUCGACAAGUGUUGUCAAUCACUGAGGCCACUUCAUAGUGGAGGGCGCUCAGAACCAAGUGCAAGUGGUAAGUGCCAGUGUUAGGGGGAGAAAUGGGACACAGCCUAAGACUCGCCUGUCGUCGCCUCAUGAGUCCGCAGAGUCAUAACAUUACACCCGUCAAUGUAAAGUCAGGCUCUAGCACAUUCAUAUUAAACCAUUCUUCUGCUCCUCCAGCAUGAGACCCUUUCAUCACCAGAGUGAGACGCGAGCAUGACACACGAGCGCCGUCUGCUCCUCGGCUGAGAGCUCUGGACGGAUCCUGAUCCAACAGAGAUGCGGAGUGACAGGUCGUCUCUUGCGUCAUGACCUGGAGUGGCGAGGGGCCGCUCACUCCUCCUGCGGUGGGUGAGCGCCGCAGCCGAGGUCGACCCAGUUCCUCCGCUGUCAACAUGGCGGACAGGCAGAAACUGGGCUUUGAUGAAGCAGAACAGUGAGUCCAGGAGGAACUGGAUCUCGACCCCAGCGAGACUUCAAUCAUCUUCUAGAGAACCUGAACGCUCCUGCUGGGUGAUGACCUGAAUAUUGACGUGGGGUGGGAUCAGGCUUUUAGCUAGGAGGGCGUCUGGGCGUCUGCAAAACAUGGAAAAAUGGACGCCCAAUUCUCGACCGUAGCUUGGCCACACGGUUACGGGCAUCCAUUUUUCCAUGUUUUCCUAGCCAAAAGCCUGGCCGGGACUGACACCAGGAGACUGGAGUGCUUCCCCGAACCUUUGGAAAGGACCUCUAUCUUAGCGGACUAGGAACAGGACUGCGACAUGGGACCUGCUCAGAUUCAUGUGCAUGAGAUGUCAAAGAGGAGCCAGGAUGACACAAGAGACCAGGUAAGGACAGUGACUGAGACAGAGGAGUCAGAUAGGUGACUGAUCAAGUCAAAGACUCGGUUGAGACGAUGACUGGAGGAAGGACCCUAAUUGAGACCAGAGACAUCCAGGACUAUGAUAACCCUCAGGACUGAGGUCAGAUGAAGGACCACAACUUCUUAGAAUCUGGACUUACACUGGGACAAGCUAUAAAGAGGCGGGGUUCCAGACCAGGACUUGGUCCACACACACUCUGACACGAGAGCUCCAGACUACACAUGGCCCAGAGACUCAUACUGUCAUGCAACACCAGGACCAGAUCUGAAGGAGCUCCAGCACUCACCGAAGAGCCGUCGGUGGAAGAUGAACUUUCCGGCCAGCAGACCGAAGAAAAUGGCCAGAAUCCAGCAGACGACCUUCAGCGUGGUCCAGCCGGGACCUGGGUACUUGUUGAACAGGAAGGAGAAGCAGUUGCCCACCACGAUCAUGUGCGCCUCCGUCUGGCUGUGUGACACCGGGUCCUCGGCGAAGAUGAGGAAGUUGAAGAAGGUGACCAGGUGAAAAACAAUGCAAGAGUUUCCGAGAUUGUCAAGAUCUAACCAGCCUCAAGGAGACACGACACUCACCUCAGUGUCCCUCAUCUCUGACUCCUCCUACUGUGACUCCUAAGCCACACAGUGACAACAUGGCAGGGUCGGUUAACAGCAGUACGGAGCUGCCUCAGGCUGCAGUUCAGGUUCUGUACCUGGACCAGGCGAGAGCUGAGGCCACAGCGGCUCCUCAAACCAAGCGGCGCGUCAGCGUCCACUUGCUUCCCGACACACUCUGUCUGUUUCCACUCCACAUCCCAGAGCUCCCUGGUGUCAUCUGUGACCCACUCUACGAGACUGGACCUCUCAACCGGGUCCCUCAGGUCUAAAAAUAACUUGGAGAGAAGCUUCCAGACUAGCGCAGGAAUAGAGCCGAAGCAGCGCCUCACGUUUCACCAAGUUCCUCAGUCGGCAGAAGACGCCACAAGUGAAACUCAGAUCUAUGAAUAACAAUGACUGCAGUCUUGUUUGGCUGACAAACUCUUGCAGGAACUUUUCUUAAAGACUACACGGCAGCAGAAAGAUGUAACACUUAAAGUGAGCUGAGCCAGAAGACCCUGAACGGUGGGAGAUGCUGGAUAGCAACUGACAUCACUGGAUCAAACUGAAAUACGCUUCUAUCGAGUGGUGCUUUUGUUUAACGAUAAAGAGCUUUGUGACAGACUCAGAGAAGAAGAAUCCCAGCUCUGACUCAGAGCCCAGCCAUGGAGCACAUACACCAGUCGGCUGUGGACCAUCUAGUGGUGCGGGUGACCCCUUGACCUCGCAUCUGAUGAACAAGACCAUUUUAUAUUCGAUUUAAACUACACGCCGGAUUAAAAAGACCGGUGGACAAAGUGAAGCGGGAUUACAUUGUUCAAAACGUGUAAUAUAAUCUGUCCCACCCAGCCAUGAGAACUGUGUGGGAUCAGACAGAUAGACGUGUGGAGUAUAAUCUGAGGCUCCUGCUGCUCCUCCUCUCAUGUCUCCCGCCGUCAGAGCCACGCCAAAUGUCACGGAAAUCUGGGAAUCAUAAUCUCCGGAAUCCGAUUACAUCAUUUAUGUCGGUGCACCGAUGGAGCGAGGGAGACGGUCGUAUCGUACCUGCGCGUUCGUGGGAAUUAGAUCACGCGAAACCUGAACCACCGUCAUCAGCAGCAGCAGCAGCAUCUUCCACGCACCUGCUCGCGCCGAGUCCCGCUCAGUCGACACCCAGGACGAGCCGCCGCGCUGCCGCUCGGCUCCCCGGCCACAUCAGGCCGACAGCGGCGCUCUGGUCGCCCCAAACACCAACUGAUCCGGUGGGAUUAUCCACGCGACCUGUUGUCGGUGUGUGACAGAGGCGCCUCUCAGAUCCUCUGCCAUUGUGUGGUGGGGGGCGGCGGA